rnacentral:rRNA from 1 species
CCGUAGCCCAAGAGAUCGGGAUAACACCUGGAAACAGAUGCUAAUACCGGAUAACAACAGAUGAUGCCUAUCAACUGUUUAAAAGAUGGUUCUGCUAUCACUCUUGGAUGGACCUGCGGUGCAUUAGCUAGUUGGUAGGGUAACGGCCUACCAAGGCGAUGAUGCAUAGCCGAGUUGAGAGACUGAUCGGCCACAUUGGGACUGAGACACGGCCCAAACUCCUACGGGAGGCAGCAGA